GAAGGAACGCGAGUCUUCUUCAGGACAAGAGAGUUACUCAAUCCAUCGAAGUGUGUGUUGAAAUCUCCCAAAAUAUCAUGGACCAACUUACUACUGUCAUUGAACAACAGCACAUGGGCCUGACUGUAGGAUUGAGUUUGUUGAUCGUCGUUGUGAUUGUCGUCCUCGCUGCUGUUGUUUACACUCCACCGGGCGCCGUUACGCGGUGCUUGAGGAGGAGGAGAAGCGAAGAGCAGCUCUCACUGACCGCUAACAGAAUAUCAUGACUCAUGAUGAUGAUGAUGAUGAUGGUGACACAAAUUAAUAAUAACUACACCGAUCUCUGUGUUGGACCGACAACAAGAAUAAACUGUUAAACCGUAAAUAUCAGAACAACAUUUACUUCUCAGUCAGAUAAUGGUUUACAAACAAAGUGACAUCCCGAUUCCCUACAAUACAGAGUUUGCAAAGUUUUUCCAGUUUAUUCAUGGUGUUAGAUCACACUCUCCACGCCUGAUAAAUACUAUACAGCCCCGGACGCCAUGAGCUUAUCAGGAAAUCUUCAGGUAUCUGGACAUCAAGUCAGCAGAGUUUCCAAUACCCAAACCUGCAUUCGAAUUAGCAGUCUACUAUCAAUAAAGGAGUUGACUGUGGAAGGAAGCCAGAGAAGAGCAGAAGCAGGAGACGAAGUAAUGAUAAUAAUUGAGCAGGGAUCAUUGAAUAAUCUUAGUUGCAUGUGUUCCGGUGCUCUCUCAUACCUCUUCUGAACAGCACAAAUAUAGCAAUGUUAUUAUACAUCAGGCCACAAGACCUUAAAUUAGAGACAUACCCUCAUAUUUCAUAUCAGUGGAGAGGAACAUUUCAUGAAACACCAUCACUAUAAGACCAAACAAUGAAAAAAGCACUAAAAGUAGAACAAGUAAUAAGAAAUAUAUUAAAUCAAAUCAAUAAGUGAUUCUUAUAAUAAAUAAUAAUCAUAAAUGAAUACAAAAUAUCAAUAAAAAUGAAUAACUAAGAUUUAUAAAUAAUUAUCUAGCCAUAACUGAAAUUAUCAAUGUAAAACAAAUAAUAAAAAAAGAAAACAUUAUAUAUUAUAGAAUUUAUUUCAUUUAAAGCACUCACAGGUUAUCACAUAUUUUAAAUUCUACAAUGAAAAUACGUAUACAGUUAAAAUAAGAAUUAUUAAACCCCCUUUGAAUUUUUUUUCUUUUUUAAAUAUUAACAAAUGAUGUUUAACAGAGCGAGGACAUUUUCACAGUAUGUCUAAUAAUAUUUUUCUUCUAGAGAAAGUUUUAUUUUGGCAAGAAUAAAAGCAGUUAAAAAUGUUUUAAUUAACAUUUUGAGGUCAAAAUUAUUAGCCCCUUUAAGCUAUAUUUUUAGAGAACAAACCAUCGUUAUACAAUUACCCUAACCUGCCUAGUUAACCUAAUUAACCUAGUUAAGCCUUUAAAUGUCACUUUAAGCUGGACAGAAGCUGUCUUAAAAUAUCUAGCAAAAUAUUAUUUACUGUCAUCAUGGCAAAGAUAAAAUAAAUCAGAUAUUAGAAAUAAGUUAUUAAAACUAUUAUGAUUAGAAAUGUGUUGAAAAAAAAUCUCUUUGUUAAACAGAAAUUGGGGUAAAAUAAACAAUGGGCUAAUAAUUCAGGGGGGUUAAUAAUUCUGACUUCAACUGUAUAUUUGUUAAUGUAGGCUAAAUAUGGAAGCGUUUAUAUAUAUAUAAUGUAUGUAAAUAUACACGCACACAUAUAUAUGCGUUAUUUUGACCUCAUACUGAAAUGUACUGCAAAUGCAAUUAAGGUAAUUUUCUGUCAUUUUGGAUGAUGCUUUUUUAUUAUUUUGAACAAUUUUGUAUAAUAUUCAAGGUUAAAUUCUGUUACCUGUCAAAUAAAUGUCAGUCCUUCCCAGUAAACUCUAUAAAAUGGAUAUGUAAAAGCUGAACUGGCAUAGACCUAUGUAAUGAAAAAUAAAUUAACUUUAUUAUGUUCCCAAUUCGAUCCUAUUCUUUUUGUUUCUGCUAACAUCAAUAAAUAUUGUUUAUUUAACAAAAA